GGGCGGGUAGCUCAGUUGGGAGAGCGGUGCCCUUACAAGGCAUAGGUCGCAGGUUCGAGCCCUGUCCCGCCCACCA
rnacentral:tRNA from 1 species